rnacentral:rRNA from 1 species
CUGUGCAAAGGUAGCAUAAUCAUUAGUUUUUUAAUUGAAGGCUUGUAUGAAUGGUCUGACAAAGGAAAAGCUGUCUUUAUUUUUAAUUUUGAAUUUAACUUUUAAGUGAAAAGGCUUAAAUAAUUUUAAGGGACGAUAAGACCCUAUAAAUCUUUAUAUUAGAAUAUUAUCUUGAAAUUUAAUAGUUAGUUUGAAUUUAACAAGAAAAUAAUAAAUAUUUUGUUGGGGUGAUGAGAAUAUAAAAAUAACUGUUCUUAAAAAAAACAAAGUUGUUUGAAAAUAAUUUAUAGAUCCUUUUUUGAAGAUUAAAAGUUUAAGUUACUUUAGGGAUAACAGCGUUAUUUUUUUUGAGAGUUCUUAUCGAAAAAAAAGUUUGCGACCUCGAUGUUGAAUUAAAAUUUCUUUACGGUGUAGAAGUUGUAAAAGAGAGUCUGUUCGACUUUUGAAAUUUU